UACCCAAAUCCGAUAUAUCUAAGAGAUUCACCCCCACUACCCUAUUUAUCUUAACAUGCAGCCUGUCCACCUCAUCACACAUGCCACAUCAUCAUUUAUUUUAUUUUCUCUAUUUUUCCUGUGCUCAGCCGGCAGCACCGUAAGCGUAACAGUCGACUCAAGGUCCAUUAUCGUUUGAGAUCUCUUAGCGUUUCCUCUUCCACCUAGAUGCAUCAUCUCAGAUCCCCCACCAAAAUUUAUGUCCAAUGAACAGACGGGUCCGCGGCCCGCAUAUAUAUCUUCCCAAUCGACUUGCAGCCGCCAGAGUAGAUCUUCGGCGCACGACCUCAUCCUCACGCCAAGAUGGACCUUGAUGUUGCACCUUCAAGCAGCACCUCGCCGGCGCCCCUCAUCGGGCGGGUUGCCCUGCCGGCCUUCUCCGACCGUCCUCAUCGGCUUCGUCCAGCCGCAGUUGUCAUCCAUAAUCAGUCCCUGAGCCAUCAGCUACAAGUUACAACCAACGAGCUUCCCGAUUCCCAUCAUACAGCCCCUCAACGCCUUCCCCCUUGGCCCGUCAUGGAGGAAUACAAUCUGGGCGGCGCGCCGUGCAUUGGGAGAGGAAGAAGAGGGGUUGUUUUCAACUGGGCUAUGCUUGCAUCUAUUGUACUCUUUUAUUUACUCAUGUAUCUCAUGUUCUGUCAAUCAACAUCAUCAGGGCCUUCGCAAUUUGUGGGCUUUCAUAUCAAUGUGCAAGAUGAGCUCUUCUAUUAUUGCCGUCAAGUAAGGCAUGACUCUUUCCCUAUUUCUUAUUGAUCAUGGAAUCCGAAGGUCAAUGUUGUUAUUGAUAUAUUACACUUGAUCUUGAAUCACUAACCAAUUAGGUUAACCACUACAUGUUAGGAUAAAAUGAUCUAUUCUGUUGCAGCUCAUUCAGAUUUGUGAAUUGGGUUUAUUCUAUUGCACUUUAGAGAAGUUUUGUCUAUACUUCCGGGAGGAGUGUUCUAUUGAGGUCUAUUAUCCGCCAAACCUGCCAAUAUUGUGUUAAUGAAGACAACACAAUGAGUGAAGUAUACGGUUUAUUUAAGUUCAGCAAAUGUGUCGAAGAUUACCCUUCACAUCAGAGUCCUUGCGACAUCCAUGUAAUAGGAUUGAUGUGUAAAUAGCUCGACCACGAUAAAAGAUCAAUGCUCAAGUUCAUCUGCAAUCAGAGGGACCAUUUUACACGAUUAUGCUUCUAUUUUCAGCAAGAUUUGGUAAUGAUAUGAGAUGGGCACUUUCCUCGAUACUCUCGAGAAUUGUAGAUCUGUUAUGUUAUUUUGUC